GCAGCGGUGGUUCAGUGGUAGAAUUGUCUCCUGCCACGCGAUAGGCCCGGGUUCAAUUCACGGCCGAUGCA